GGCAGCGCGGACUUCGGUCUGGCGGCGAGUGGCGAACGGGUGAGUAAUGUAUCGGAACGUGCCCAGUAGCGGGGGAUAACUACUCGAAAGAGUAGCUAAUACCGCAUACGCCCUACGGGGGAAAGGGGGGGAUCGCAAGACCUCUCACUAUUGGAGCGGCCGAUAUCGGAUUAGCUAGUUGGUGAGGUAAAGGCUCACCAAGGCGACGAUCCGUAGCUGGUUUGAGAGGACGACCAGCCACACUGGGACUGAGACACGGCCCAGACUCCUACGGGAGGCAGCAGUGGGGAAUUUUGGACAAUGGGGGAAACCCUGAUCCAGCCAUUCCGCGUGUGCGAUGAAGGCCUUCGGGUUGUAAAGCACUUUUGGCAGGAAAGAAAUCGCACGGAUUAAUACUCUGUGUGGAUGACGGUACCUGCAGAAUAAGCACCGGCUAACUACGUGCCAGCAGCCGCGGUAAUACGUAGGGUGCAAGCGUUAAUCGGAAUUACUGGGCGUAAAGCGUGCGCAGGCGGUUCGGAAAGAAAGGUGUGAAAUCCCAGGGCUUAACCUUGGAACUGCACUUUUAACUACCGAGCUAGAGUAUGUCAGAGGGGGGUGGAAUUCCGCGUGUAGCAGUGAAAUGCGUAGAUAUGCGGAGGAACACCGAUGGCGAAGGCAGCCCCCUGGGAUAAUACUGACGCUCAUGCACGAAAGCGUGGGGAGCAAACA
rnacentral:rRNA from 1 species